rnacentral:rRNA from 1 species
UGAACGGCUGGCGGCGUGCUUAACACAUGCAGGUCGAACGGAGCUUAGAAGGAAGCUUGCUUUCGAUUUAAGCUUAGUGGCGGACGGGUGAGUAACGCGUGAGUAACCUGCCCUUGAGAGGGGAAUAACAUCGAGAAAUCGGUGCUAAUACCGCAUAAUGUCGGAGUAUCGCAUGACAUUCCGACCAAAGAUUUUAUCGCUCAAGGAUGGACUCGCGUCCGAUUAGCUAGUUGGUGGGGUAACGGCCCACCAAGGCUUCGAUCGGUAGCCGAACUGAGAGGUUGAUCGGCCACAUUGGGACUGAGACACGGCCCAGACUCCUACGGGAGGCAGCAGUGGGGAAUAUUGGGCAAUGGGCGCAAGCCCUGACCCAGCAACGCCGCGUGAAGGAUGAAGGUCUUCGGAUUGUAAACUUCUUUGAUUGGGGAAGAAUAAAUGACCUACCCAAAGAACAAGCCACGGCUAACUACGUGCCAGCCGCGGC